rnacentral:lncRNA from 1 species
GGGUUGCAGGCCUGGGCGCCGGGGUUGGACCAGUCUCCCGGGCAUGGCACGCCCUGGUUUGGUGUGUACCCAUGGUUUGUGGCGGGGCAAGACGUUAAGUUGGGUGACACCGAGGUGAGCCACGGUCCUUGGCACCAGAUGAGGAACCACUGUCUCAAUAAGUGACACCAGUGAUGCUGUUAAACAAGGACAGUCCGGUUCAUGGAUUGUGACAACGCACGCUGACAUCAAGCAGACCCUGCCGUCAGCUGAGUGCCAUGAGAGGACAGUGACAACC